rnacentral:tRNA from 1 species
GCGGGAGUGGCGGAAUGGCAGACGCACCAGAAUUAGGAUCUGGCGUUUUAGGACGUGGGGGUUCAAGUCCCUUCUCCCGCACCA